rnacentral:rRNA from 1 species
GUAGGUGACGAGCGUUAUCCGGAAUUACUGGGCGUAAAGCGCACGCAAGCGGUUGGCCAAGUCUGACGUGAAAUCUCCUAGCUUAACUGGGAGCGGUCGUUGGAAACUGGCGAGCUUGAGGCGAUGAGAGGGAUGCAGAAUUCCUGGUGUAGUGGUGGAAUGCGUAGAGAUCAGGAGGAAUACCUGUGGCGAAAGCGGCAUCCUGGCGUCGUACUGACGCUCAUGUGCGAAAGCGUGGGGAGUGAACGGGAUUAGAUACCCCGGUAAUCCACGCUGUAAACGAUGAACACUAGGUGUAGGGGGUGUCAAAACCUUCUGUGCCAAAGCCAACGCGUUAAGUGUUCCGCCUGGGAAGUACGGCCGCAAGGCUAAA